rnacentral:rRNA from 1 species
AUUGAACGCUGGCGGCAUGCCUUACACAUGCAAGUCGAACGGCAGCGGGGAGAAGCUUGCUUUUCCUGCCGGCGAGUGGCGAACGGGUGAGGAAUGUAUCGGAACGUGCCGAGUAGUGGGGGAUAACACAGGGAAACUUGUGCUAAUACCGCAUACGUACUGAGGUAGCAAGUGGGGGACCUUCUGGCCUCACCCUUUUCGAUCGGCCGGCGUCUGAUUAGCUAGUAGGUGAGGUAAGAGCUCACCUAGGCGACGAUCAGUAGCGGGUCCGAGAGGAUGAUCCGCCACACUGGGACUGAGACACGGCCCAGACUCCUACGGGAGGCAGCAGUGGGGAAUUUUGGACAAUGGGCGCAAGCCUGAUCCAGCCAUGCCGCGUGUCUGAAGAAGGCCUUCGGGUUGUAAAGGACUUUUGUCAGGGAGGAAAUCCUAGUGGCUAAUAACUGCUGGGGAUGACAGUACCUGAAGAAUAAGCACCGGCUAACUACGUGCCAGCCGCCGCCGUAA